AGAGUUUGAUCCUGGCUCAGAACGAACGCUGGCGGCGCGUUUUAAGCAUGCAAGUCGAGCGGCAAGGGCCUUCGGGCCCCUAGAGCGGCGGACGGGUGAGUAACACGUGGACAAUCUGCCCCCCGGCCGGGGAUAGCCCAGGGAAACCUGGAUUAAUACCGGAUGAGACGGGACGCACGAGGGUGCGAUCCGGGAAAGGCGCUGCGGCGCCGCCGGGGGAUGAGUCCGCGACCCAUUAGCUAGACGGCGGGGUAAAGGCCCACCGUGGCGACGAUGGGUAGCCGGCCUGAGAGGGUGGACGGCCACAUUGGAACUGAGACACGGUCCAGACUCCUACGGGAGGCAGCAGCUAAGAAUCUUCCGCAAUGGGCGAAAGCCUGACGGAGCGACGCCGCGUGAACGAAGAAGGCCGUGAGGUUGUAAAGUUCUUUUCGGGAGGGGGAAUGACCGUGGCAGGGAAUGGCCGCGGGAUGACGUGAAUCCCGGAAUAAG
rnacentral:rRNA from 1 species